rnacentral:misc_RNA from 1 species
AAGUUCCAUUAUGUCCCGUUUGGUAAGCACCUAAGCAUCCUAGUUUUUGAUUUGACAGGACACUUGCAUCAGAUUAAAUUUAAUUGCAGUCCAUUUUCAUGGUUUUCCUGGGGAGUUCCUUCUUUCCUAUUUCUAGUAUUUGCCUUGUAAUUAAGUGGAAGAUUUUCUUGAGCAGAGUCCAUAUAAUAUUUUCAUUGCUGAGUAAUUCUAUAACAUGAAUUUUGGUUAAACAGGUUGGACCCAAAAAGGCAUGCG